ACGGCUUAGACUGACUCAUUGCCUGUAAAUUGCGUUGCUCCAACGGUAUAACUUGACGGACAUACGUCCAAACAUUGGUGUUUAUCGUCGUAACAAGCAAGGAAGAUGUAAAGAAGAGAUGUAGCUAAGAAACUGCAAGUUCCCAGAAAUGUUAUCAAAUAUGAGAAAGUGGCAACGUAUAUUCGAACACCAAUGUGUUUUUUAUAAUAAAGUAUUCUCUCUGUUUUACAUAUUUUGAAAACCAUUAAGUACACGGGCAUUUAUAUUCAAAAUUAUAUUCAAUGUGAAAAAGGAUUUUUAUACUAUAAGUCUAUAAGUUUAUCAUUUUUUAUUCACGGAAGUUACUCCAAAUGUACUUAAUGCUAUGUCACUCUCUCUCUUUAUAGUAGCCUACUUUAUACUAGGUCAUAGUCUUUUUUUUUUUUGCUAAAGAGUAAAUGUCAUUGCAAUGAAUGAAGUUUCGGUUACAUAUUGAUGCAACCACAAUCUGCUUUUCAGCUAUUCUGAAAGCUUAGAGGGUGCAAAAAAGUUUAAAAAAACCCCUAAACCACAAAGAGAUUAAGCUCAAUCUUUACCAACAAUGGUAAGCUUGAAGUUAAUAACAUAAUCUAGGACAAAGACAAACAAUUAAUCUCCCAAUCCCAAGCACUUCUCAUAUUACUGGAGCAACCAGAGACAACAAGAGUAAAGCCACAAGAUAAGUUCAAUCAGGUCUCACCGAAGUGGCUCCAAGCAGGCAUCGACGGCAACGGCUGGCUCCCGCCCCGGAGCUCCGUUUGGAGGAGGACGCCGACGAACAAACUCAAGCUUCCUCAGUACUUGCUAACGUGUAACCUGACAUCGACACCGUUUAAAGAUGAAGCCUGAGUUACGGUCAAGCGCAGACGGUCGUUUUGGCUCCUCAUCCGGCCACGCGACACAAAGGAUACAGCAGAAAUAUCAAGCCACACAAAAGCUAGCAACUGGAGCUUAGGAGGUAGGGAAUUGAAGUGCAGAAGGAGUGUGAAAGCUCCUUGAAACAGACGAAUCCAAAACCAGUGAGAAUACCACCUCAAUGCAGGAGACAUUUUCGCAAGGGUUGUCCUCAAAACCCUAGGAAACAGCAUCGAGAGCAGAAAGGAGGACAAAUACAGGUUCUGGAGUCACGCCAUGGUUGUCGUCAUUCGACCUAAGGGACAGAGGUCCUCGGUGGUGCACCUCACAACCACCCUUCACUCAGAUCUGAGAGGAGGAGCUCUACAAAACCUUUGAAUCGGCAUAAUAGAGAGACACGACUGGAGGGAGACACAAGGCAGGAAAAGCGACGGUCGCGACGCGUCACAGUUUCCGGCGAGUCUCAGAUCUCAGAUCUGACCCAGAUCCGAGCGCAGACGGUGACUACAAGCAGAUCCAAAGGCUCCAGAGUGAACUUCAACUCAUCACACCUCGCCAGUGUUCCGGAGAGAAGCAAGGACGCCUUGCUCUCAGUUCGUUCCGACGGAGAAGCCCCAUCGAACCCAGAGCAACCGAACAAGGAGGAGAGACGAGGUGGAGACAACAAAGGAGAGAGGCGAUAUCAAAAACGAGAGAAUCAAGAGACCCGCGGUGACCGGAUCUAUGGACCAGCCACCGCGAGAAAGUUACGCAGGUGGAGAGCUCGAGGGAGAGAGAGUUAGGAGAGAGAGAGAGGAAAAUAUUGUGUUCACUCUGGAGAGCUCGAGGGAGAUCUAGGUCAUAGUCUUUGUUGUGUUAUUUAUCGUGUUCGCACACAACAUUCAAUAUUCAACCAUCCUUAAAAA
rnacentral:lncRNA from 1 species